rnacentral:tRNA from 1 species
GAUUAAAUGGCUGAGAUUUAGGCAAUAGACUGUAAAUCUAUGUACGAAAAUUUAUUUUCUUUAAUCA